rnacentral:rRNA from 1 species
CAGAGAUGGAUUGGUGCCUUCGGGAACUGUGAGACAGGUGCUGCAUGGCUGUCGUCAGCUCGUGUUGUGAAAUGUUGGGUUAAGUCCCGCAACGAGCGCAACCCUUAUCCUUUGUUGCCAGCGGUUCGGCCGGGAACUCAAAGGAGACUGCCAGUGAUAAACUGGAGGAAGGUGGGGAUGACGUCAAGUCAUCAUGGCCCUUACGACCAGGGCUACACACGUGCUACAAUGGCAUAUACAAAGAGAAGCGACCUCGCGAGAGCAAGCGGACCUCAUAAAGUAUGUCGUAGUCCGGAUUGGAGUCUGCAACUCGACUCCAUGAAGUCGGAAUCGCUAGUAAUCGUAGAUCAGAAUGCUACGGUGAAUACGUUCCCGG